rnacentral:rRNA from 1 species
CUAUGGGCAUACUUAGUACGGCGAGUGAGCGGUAAAAGCUCAAAUUUGAAAUCUGGUACUUUCAGUGCCCGAGUUGUAAUUUGUAGAAUUUGUCUUUGAUUAGGUCCUUGUCUAUGUUCCUUGGAACAGGACGUCAUAGAGGGUGAGAAUCCCGUUUGGCGAGGAUACCUUUUCUCUGUAAGACUUUUUCGAAGAGUCGAGUUGUUUGGGAAUGCAGCUCAAAGUGGGUGGUAAAUUCCAUCUAAAGCUAAAUAUUGGCGAGAGACCGAUAGCGAACAAGUACAGUGAUGGAAAGAUGAAAAGAACUUUGAAAAGAGAGUGAAAAAGUACGUGAAAUUGUUGAAAGGGAAGGGCAUUUGAUCAGACAUGGUGUUUUUUGCAUGCACUCGCCUCUCGUGGGCUUGGGCCUCUCAAAAAUUUCACUGGGCCAACAUCAAUUCUGGCAGCAGGAUAAAUCAUUAAGAAUGUAGCUACUUCGGUAGUGUUAUAGCUUUUUGGAAUACUGUUAGCCGGGAUUGAGGACUGCGCUUCGGCAAGGAUGUUGGCAUAAUGGUUAAAUGCCGCCCGUCUUGAACCACGGACCA